AUGUGGAUUUAAUGCAAGCACCAAUGCAUAGGAUCACAUCAGAACUCCUUAGUUACAUGUGCUUGGGCUACAGUAGUAUUGGGAUGGGUGUGAUCCUGGGAAGUGCUUGUGUUUUACCUC